rnacentral:rRNA from 1 species
GAUGAACGCUGGCGGCGUGCCUAAUACAUGCAAGUCGAGCGAACAGACGAGAAGCUUGCUUCUCUGAUGUUAGCGGCGGACGGGUGAGUAACACGUGGAUAACCUACCUAUAAGACUGGGAUAACUUCGGGAAACCGGAGCUAAUACCGGAUAAUAUAUUGAACCGCAUGGUUCAAAAGUGAAAGACGGUCUUGCUGUCACUUAUAGAUGGAUCCGCGCUGCAUUAGCUAGUUGGUAAGGUAACGGCUUACCAAGGCAACGAUGCGUAGCCGACCUGAGAGGGUGAUCGGCCACACUGGAACUGAGACACGGUCCAGACUCCUACGGGAGGCAGCAGUAGGGAAUCUUCCGCAAUGGGCGAAAGCCUGACGGAGCAACGCCGCGUGAGUGAUGAAGGUCUUCGGAUCGUAAAACUCUGUUAUUAGGGAAGAACAUAUGUGUAAGUAACUGUGCACGUCUUGACGGUACCUAAUCAGAAAGCCACGGCUAACUACGUG